rnacentral:rRNA from 1 species
GAUGAACGCUAGCGACAGGCCUAACACAUGCAGGUCGAGGGGCAGCACAUGAGUAGCAAUACGAUGGUGGCGACCGGCGCACGGGUGAGUAACACGUAUGCAACCUGCCUUCUACUAUGGGAUAACCCGUUGAAAGACGGACUAAUACCGUAUAAUACAGGGGCUCCGCAUGGAGAUAUUUGUUAAAGAUUUAUUGGUAGAAGAUGGGCAUGCGUAUGAUUAGAUAGUUGGUGAGGUAACGGCUCACCAAGUCAACGAUCAUUAGGGGUUCUGAGAGGAAGGUCCGCCACACUGGUACUGAGACACGGACCAGACUCCUACGGGAGGCAGCAGUGAGGAAUAUUGGUCAAUGGACGAGAGUCUGAACCAGCCAAGUCGCGUGAAGGAAGACGGUUCUAUGAAUUGUAAACUUCUUUUGUGCAGGAAUAAAGUGGGUUACGUGUAACCUUUUGUAUGUACUGUACGAAUAAGGAUCGGCUAACUCCGUGCCAGCAGCCGCGGUAACAC